rnacentral:misc_RNA from 1 species
AACCUUCUCAAUGUUUUCCAUCAUUACUCCUUUGACUUCAGAAACCUGUGCUUUCACUUUGGCAAGCUUAUUGAUCUCCUCUGGGUGCUCCACACAAUACUUCAUAUGCUCCUUCAGUUUAGACCCAAAUUCUUUGUUCAGGCUGUUGGCAGUUGCUGUCAUGGCCUUUCCACCUCCAUAUCUCUUCAGAAAGUCCUCAUUAACUCGUUCAAGGAAUGCAAUAGGGAUCUGUCGGCCAGCAGCCUCAACUGCAACCACACAGUAAGUGAAUCCAUUGUCGACGAGAUAGUUGAAGGUGUGGCCA